rnacentral:rRNA from 1 species
GACGAACGCUGGCGGCGUGCUUAACACAUGCAAGUCGAACGGAAAGGCCCUGCUUUUGUGGGGUGCUCGAGUGGCGAACGGGUGAGUAACACGUGAGUAACCUGCCCUUGACUUUGGGAUAACUUCAGGAAACUGGGGCUAAUACCGGAUAGGAGCUCCUGCUGCAUGGUGGGGGGGGGAAAGUUUCGGCGGUUGGGGAUGGACUCGCGGCUUAUCAGCUUGUUGGUGGGGUAGUGGCUUACCAAGGCUUUGACGGGUAGCCGGCCUGAGAGGGUGACCGGGCACAUUGGGACUGGGGUACGGCCCAGACUCCCCCGGGAGGGAGGAGGUGGGAAUAUUGCAAAAUGGGCGGAAGCCUGAUGCAGCCACGCCGGGGGCGGGAUGAAGGCCUUAGGGUUGUAAACCGCUUCCGCCUGUGACGACGCGUGAGUGACGGUAAUGGGUAAAGAAGCACCGGCUAACUCCGUG